UUUACACUGCCAGACAAAAUACAGUCCUGAUAAAACAGAAACUCUAGAGUGGAGGUAUUUUUUUUAAAAAAGAAGAAGGGAAAGAAUGAAGCAGUGUGAGGUGAGAUGCAGGUGAAGAAUUGGAGAUAGAAGGACAAGACGAAGGUGAAAACAAAAAACAGUGCAAGAGAAAGAACUGGAGGAGGAGCUCGGCUGGAGUUGCAUUCCAACGCGUCGCUCUCAAUCCCUGUUACUCCCGGCAACACAGUUCCUUGAUCUGGUCCCACGUCAUGCCGGGCGAAAGAGGAGGAGGAGGAAGGAGGUGAAGGUGGGAGUGAGUUGAAGACACGAUGGAUGAAAUAACGGCCCGCUGGCCAGCAGGCAGAUGGGUCCCCCUACAUAAAGAGCCGGGUUCUGCUCAAGGUUUCUUCCCUGUUAAAAGGUUUUUUUUCUUAUCACUGUCACCUUAGGGCUUGCUCUGGGGGUUCAGACAUAUGGGUUCUGUAAAGCGUCU